AUAUUAGUGGUACUUUACUGUGAAUAACGAAAUUCAUGUUGCAACGCGCACCGUAUGCAUUUGUAUGCAACAAGCAUCCAAACUAAAUAGCGCGGAAACAAACCAACCGUAGAACUGAUGAACCCACCAACUAAACGACCAAAGUGACUGUCAGUGACAUUUGUGCCAAAUAUCACAUAAAAAUAAUCAUUAGUGUUUAGUUGACGCUUGUCUUUCUGAAGUACAUAAAGUGCAUUCGGUGAUUUUUACCAUAAGUGGAAUUAUUCAACAAAGAAGAACGUGUUGACGAUGAACCAUGUCCAGGACGGCCUUAUGAUCUACACGUCAAUAAAAUAAAGGAACUCGUGCUUGAGAAUCGACGAUUAACAGUCAGAGAUCUUACUGAAGAAAAGUGAAAGCACGAUUGGUUCCAAAAUCACUAAAUUUUUUCAAAAAAAAAAAGUGUCGCGUUAACGUCUGCGAAACAAUACUUUUCGACUACUAGGAUGUCAUGAAACGAAUUACUACUGGCGAUGAGGCUUGAAUCUAUGCCUACGACCACGAAACAGACGGUCAAUCGGCUGAAUAUCGUGUCAAAGGUGAGCUGAAGCCGAAAAAACCACGUCGAAGCAGGUCAAAAAUCAAGGUUAUGUUGACAGUUUUUUUCGUAUAUUGAGGUGUAGUGGACUCUGAAUUCCUUCCGACAGGCCAAACUGUCAACGAGGAAUACUAUUUGAGUGUUUUUUUUAGUUUGCGCGAAGCAAUUCUUAGAAAGAGGCCGGAAUUAUGGGCCAACAACUUCUGGUUCUUGCACCACGAUAAUGCACUGUCGCAUAUUGCAUUGAUUCUUCGUGAGUUUUGCCAAAUUUUCAACCAAUAUCGUGCCGAAACCACCGCAUUCGCCGUUUAGCUCCGCGUGACUUCUCGCUCAGCAGCAGCAAACUCAAACGACCGCUCCGGGUAAACCGUUUUGAGCCAUUGCAGACAUUAAACGUGAAUCGCUAAGCGCAUUGAAAGCUAUUCCGGAAGUUGACUUUAACAACUGUUUCGAGGAUUGAAAAAAACGUUUCCACAAGUGAAAGCUCCGACAACUCUUCACUUCAAGCCAAGAAGAUAGAUAGCCGUCAUAGUCGAAUAAUUCGAGGUGUUAGUAUAAAUCCCUAACAAAGACAAAUUUAAGUCUUAAUAAAUUGUGCUAAGAAUCAUAAACGG